rnacentral:lncRNA from 1 species
CCUAGUUCAAUGAUAUAACAAGGAAGAAUACAAAAGCUAAAGGGUUGCAUAUAUAAUAAGAAAAAAAACAUAACACAAAAAUUACAAUAAAACUACCAUGAAGCUAAUUAUUAUGCUUCAAAGGGGUGAUUUAAAAGAACAAAGAUUUGUUGUCCCAAAUCAUGUCCUAUACCAAUAACAAUAAAAAAACGGAAGAAACAACAAAUAUUAAAUUUUCUAAUUGACAUAACAUACUUUCAUUGGUGUAGGAUAUAAUUUGGUACAUAGUUGGAGGAUAACAUAUCCUUAUUCGAGUUAAAUACAUGGUUGUGAUUAGUGAACGAUGAUCUAAUUGUUUGGAUGUGUGUUUUCUGGAUUGGAAGUGCCAGAAGCAACCUUUGCAACAUCCAUGGCUGAAGCUUCAGGCUUCUUCUUUGUAUACAAAACACAAUAACCCAUAACAAAAGUUGCUGCAAAACCAGCAAUGGCCAUUGUCAUAGGACUCAUAGGCAUUUUCUUACGUUGGUGCAGUACUUCUGUGGAAUGUUGAGCAGGUGAAUGAUGAUGCCCUUUCAUGGCACCAGCUUCUGCCAUUUUAGCUUUUCCUUGUCCAACCAUGUUGUCUUUUUUUCUUCUCACUUUUAUGAAUGUUUUUUUGGAAUGAAAUGAUGUUAAACUUUUUUUGUAUGAGUGUGAUUUUAU